AUCCUAUAUAUAAAAUAUAAUAGGGCUAAAACUCUUAACCCGAUUUAAGCAUUUUAAGUGGUGGCUAGACCUAAGAGGUUAGGAGAGUUAAGCGUGCUAGAACGAGAGUAGUCCUAGGAUGGAUGACCUUCCUGAAAAGUUGGAACGUAAUAGUUGGUAUCAGAGUCAAUUAUUAGGCGAAAGUGUGAGAUGAGUCUCGACUGAAAUAGAAUUAUACGGCGGGGAGAGCAAGACUCUCAUACUUUUGAUUGUUCUGAGUGGAGUGCAGCUCACCACAAGGUUGGUCUAGGCUAGCAAGAUGAGUCUCACAUCGCCUGAUACUUGUAAGUCUGAGCCUGACGAGAACGUCAGGACUUAAGAGGGGGAGAAUAUAAGACCCCAAAUAGUUCUAUAUAUAAGAUAUAAUAGGACUAAAACUUUUAACCUAACUUAAAUAUUUUGAACGAUGGUUAGGCCCAAGAGGUUAAGAGUGUUAAGCGUACUAGGACGGGAGUAGUCUUAAGCUUAGUUUGGUAUUGAGGCUUAUCUAACGCUAUUAGAUAAAAUGGAGUUGAAGAAAAAGCAUAUAGGGAUAUGCUUCUGCGUUCUCCGGUGGGACCGCAGAAAAUAUAUCGUAACCGACUCAUCGCGAUAUGCGGAACGCAAUAUUAUGUACGGAAACAAACAGGGUAUUUUUUCAACGUACUUUCUCACCGCACGUAACGCAAUCUCUCCGCAAUCCCAAACGAAAACUUAGGACAGGAAUAGUCCUAGGACGAGAGAUAACUUAACGGAUGGUAACUGCGGGUGUAUUUUUGAAUAACGGAGUUAUAUAUGAGAGAUAUAUUUGAGAAAAAAGAGUAAGAAUAAAUUAAAUAUUUUCGAAAUUUUGAGGGGUAUAUAAGAAAUU
rnacentral:lncRNA from 1 species